GAAAGCAUCUCUGCCAACUCUAGAGAGUUUAGAUAUCUACUUAUUUAUAUCUACAUCUAUCUAUAUUUAUAUUAAACAAAAGUGACAGGACAUGGUAAUAGAUGCAAUGUAUAGGUGAAUUAGAGAGAGGUAUCAAGCUUGACUCCCAGGUUUCUGAUAGAAUGGCUGAAUUGAUGGCAAUACCUUUCACUGAGAGGAAACAUUGGCAGAAAACCAGUUUUGAAUGAAGAGGAUGCUUCCUUUUCCUUCUGACAUGAGUGGAACCAGCCAUAGGCCCUCAUCAGAGGCAGAUGCUGGCACUUUGCUUCUCGUACAGCCUGCAGAAUGUUAAUACUCUUGGAUAAUGUAUUUAAGGAUGCUUAAGUUCAUCAUGGGUCCUCUGGAAAUCUCCUACCUUUGUGAGCAAAGAUUACUGCAGGGUGGAAGACAGGUCCAUGAUUGCCCAGGCUGCAGUGCAAGAAGGUGAGCACAUUUCAGUUUAUCUCCCUACAUUAGAAGGAAGAAACUUCUAGGUUAACAAUCAGAUGCAUCUUCACAUCCUAAUGACCCCAAUAAGAUUAACUU
rnacentral:lncRNA from 10 species